CAUGUUGGCAAACGAUGAGUGGUGCGCUGAAAGUGGCUUCUAAAGCCAAUUAUCUCACUCCAAUAUACGAUAUACGGAGACCCGAAUCAAAAUUUAUUAUCCCCGCUCUUGCAGCUUGAAAAUCAUUAAAGAGACGAAGGAUCCAAGGGAAUAGAUAGUUCGCCGGCCGGAGCUAGGAGAAUGAGCGCGUCGAGGUUCAUAAAGUGCGUCACCGUUGGCGAUGGGGCUGUGGGUAAAACUUGCCUUCUCAUUUCCUACACGAGCAAUACAUUUCCCACUGUAAGUAUUCGUUUACUUUUCGUUCCUUUUAAAUUACCAUUGCCUUUCUCUAUGUAUCUUGGUUCUGUGGGUCUUGUUUACUGUUGCUUGAAUUCGUGAUCGAUCUACGAUAAGUCUUCUAUUUUCUGGCUUCAGGCUGCUUGAUUAAUCUAUUUUAGUUUAAGAGCCAAAUCCCCACUUCUCUUGCUAGAAAAUGGGAAAAGACUAUUUCUUGGACUGAAACAAACAACGGUAAUUAUCAUGCGGGAGGGUUUCGUGUCUUUUCUUUUUCUUCGACUGGGGAGAAAUGAUUGAUUGGUGAAAAAAAAAAGGGACCUUUGCAGCAGUCUGAUUCUUGAACCACUUUCCUAUGCUGUUAGAUGAAAAGAGGUAUGAUCAUAGGGACCAGUGUUGCUUCCCUUACUCAACAUAGGGCCUUCAAAAGAACUGUACCUACUGUCCCAAAUCAGGAUAACACCACCCCCCACCCCAGUUAACUCUUGAAUGGCUAUCAGAUCAUGGUCAGGUAAUUCUAGGAAGGCACUUUGUAAAGCUUGACGAGGAGCUAGAAAGAGCCCACUGAAGCAAUUUAUUCAGAGUAGUUUGGCGUUUGAUGAAUGAAUGAAUCCAAUGUUAGUAUACACUGUUGCUGGAUAAAGUAAACACUGUUCCCUUUUUAUACACUUCUUGCUGGAGGGUUUGUUAAGGAAGACAAAAAGGGCCGAUGAAGGGGGGAGAAUGAAAAUGUUUUCUGUUCUCCCCUGUGCUCAAAGGGUGCUUGUGGAGGUGUGUACCAUAAUAAAUGAGUACUUACGGAUUUCGAAGAAUUUUUCUAUUUGGGUUAUGUUUGGAGUGUCCAAAUUUUUGCACUUGUGCACCCUAAUGCUCGAUUGAGAAGUGUUUGUGGGUUAUUUAACGACUUGUCAGGGUAAGAAAAUAUAUAUUUGCACAUCACAUCUUUGGUCCUUCUGAUUUUUUAUGGCUUUCUUGGUUUUAAUUGAAUAUGUUAACAAUAUCUUGAACCUUUUUGGAUUUCUGGAAAAAAUUGUCCUAAAAGGAGUUUAGCUUCUUCCGUCCCUCCCACCCCUAAAAUCAUUCAUGACAUUUAUGAAGACAAGAUGUCUUCUUGUGUGUCUCUUUGUUUCUUAGAAGGUGAAACGAUGAAGUAAUAUACAGCAAGGGAAGGGUGAAUCAUGGGAUUCAUUCUGUUAUGAGAGAGCUCUCUUCCUUGGGAUCUUUUUGCAAAUCUUAAUCAAGUUUUGUAAAUGCCACCGAAAGUAUAUUUGGAAACUGUGACCAUGCCACUUGAAAUACAUUGUGCCUGAUGCCUGUAUUGUAACAUGUUUUUUAAUUAUAAUAUUUCUUUGCUUAUGGCACUUUCGUUUUGGGCUGGAAAACUAUUUCAUUAUCUCUUGAACACCCCCCC